rnacentral:rRNA from 1 species
CACGUAGGAGACGAGCGUUAUCCGGAUUUACUGGGUGUAAAGCGCGUGCAGGCGGUCCGAUAAGUUGGAUGUGAAAGCUCCUGGCUUAACUGGGAGAGGUCGUUCAAUACUGUUGGACUAGAGGAUGUCAGAGGGGAGUGGAAUUCCGAGUGUAGCGGUAAAAUGCAUAGAUAUUCGGAAGAACACCAGUGGCGAAGGCGGCUCUCUGGGACAUAUCUGACGCUCAGACGCGAAAGCUAGGGUAGCAAACGGG